rnacentral:rRNA from 1 species
CAAUAGCGUAUAUUAAAGUUGUUGCAGUUAAAAAGCUCGUAGUUGGAUUUCUGAUCGAGACAUCAGGUCGGGUCCGAGAGGAUCAUGUACUUUGAUUUUGUUUUGAUCAUCCUUGGGGAGAGCAUUUCUGGCAUUCAGUUGUCGGGAUUGGGAUCCUCAUCGUUUACUGUGAAAAAAUUAGAGUGUUCAAAGCAGGCCUCGGCCUCUGAAUACAUUAGCAUGGAAUAAUAAGAUAGGACUUUGGUGGUCUAUUUUGUUGGUUUGCACGCCAAAGUAAUGAUUAAUAGGGAUAGUUGGGGGUAUUCGUAUUCAAUUGUCAGAGGUGAAAUUCUUGGAUUUAUGGAGGACGAACUACUGCGAAAGCAUUUACCAAGGAUGUUUUCAUUAA